rnacentral:rRNA from 1 species
GACGAACGCUGGCGGCGUGCCUAAUACAUGCAAGUCGAACGCUUCUUUCCUCCCGAGUGCUUGCACUCAAUUGGAAAGAGGAGUGGCGGACGGGUGAGUAACACGUGGGUAACCUACCCAUCAGAGGGGGAUAACACUUGGAAACAGGUGCUAAUACCGCAUAACAGUUUAUGCCGCAUGGCAUAAGAGUGAAAGGCGCUUUCGGGUGUCGCUGAUGGAUGGACCCGCGGUGCAUUAGCUAGUUGGUGAGGUAACGGCUCACCAAGGCCACGAUGCAUAGCCGACCGGAGAGGGUGAUCGGCCACACGGGGACUGAGACACGGCCCAGACUCCUACGGGAGGCAGCAGUAGGGAAUCUUCGGCAAUGGACGAAAGUCUGACCGAGCAACGCCGCGUGAGUGAAGAAGGUGUUCGGAUCGUAAAACUCUGUUGUUAGAGAAGAACAAGGACGUUAGUAACUGAACGUCCCCUGACGGUAUCUAACCAGAAAGCCACGGCUAACUACGUG